CGCGGACAUGAAUGCCCGCUUCGAGCGCCGUCACAUCAGACAGUUGCGGCGCGAAUACGCCAUCGACCAGCACCAGUUUCUGCGUGCUGUCGAUGCCGAGCGAUUUCACAGCCUUGGCGGCACGGGCAAGCGCGGCCUGAUCCGGCGUCGCAGCCAGCGGCGCGAUCUCGCGCAGCAGUGCGCGCAGAUCGGUGUACUUCCAUUCCUCGAUGCGCCGGUGCGGCAGGCCGAGACGCGCAAAGUCGU
rnacentral:misc_RNA from 1 species